rnacentral:rRNA from 1 species
ACUUGUUUAAAAUAAAAAAGUCCCGCCUGCCCUGUGACCUUGAGUUUAACGGCCGCGGUAUUUUGACCGUGCCAAGGUAGCGCAAUCACUUGUCUUUUAAAUGAAAACCCGUAUGAAUGGCAUAACGAGGGCUUAACUGUCUCCCUUUUCCAGUCAAUGAAAUUGAUCUCCCCGUGCAGAAGCGGGGAUCCCCACAUAAGACGAGAAGACCCUAUGGAGCUUUAGACAAAAAACAGCCCAUGUCAAACACCCCUAAACAAAGGACAAAACUAAUUGGCCCCUGUCCUAAUGUCUUUGGUUGGGGCGACCGCGGGGAAACAAAAAACCCCCAUGUGGACUGAAGGCACCCUUCUUCACAACCAAGAGCCACAGCUCUAAGUAACAGAACAUCUGACCAACAAGAUCCGGAAUAAUAACCGAUCAACGGACCGAGUUACCCUAGGGAUAACAGCGCAAUCUCCUUCUAGAGCCCAUAUCGACAAGGAGGUUUACGACCUCCAUGUUGGAUCAGGACAUCCUAAUGGUGCAUCCUCUAUAAAGGAUUCGUUUGUUCAACGAUUAAA